GUUUGUACCCUGCUUGGAAAAGUAUUAGGGAAAAAUUGGAAUGAGUUUAAUGUUGAAUCGUGUGUAAUAUUUAGGGGAGGUCCACGCUUGAACCCAGGAGGCAGAGAUUGCGGUGAGCCGAGGUCACGCCAUUGCACUCCAGCCUGGGCAACAAGAGUGAAACUCCGUCUCAAAAAAAAAGAAAGAGAAAAAUUACCUGUUUAUGGAGAUAACUGUUCACAGUGGAUAAAAUCAACACUGAGGAACUUUAGCAGAACAUAGACCUGACCUAUCACUGCCCAUGUCUUAGUCUGCUACUUCUCUUUGGGGUCUGUCAUCCAAUCAGUUGU
rnacentral:lncRNA from 1 species